CUUACGCCUUCGAUCCCUAACACUACUUUGAACAACAGCUGCAAGAAAUCCAUCAAGCCAACCCGUGCUCAGUCGUCGUUGAACCCAACACUGUGAUCCCUCGUGCCCAGCGUUGUUGUCGUCGAACCACCACGUGCCCAACCUUGUCGUCGUUGAACCACCACUAGAAGAAAUCCAUCGUCGUUGUGCUCGCCACCACCGUAGACCCACCCAUGCUCAGUAGUCAUCGAACCCACCACUGCUUUUGUGCUUGCCACUAGAAGGUCCGUCCCAACCAUCGCCAUCACCGUGCUUAGCCGUGUCUAUCUCGUAAUCUUGGAUCUGGUUAAAGCUCGUGGCCAGAUCUGCAUUCAAAGCACCGCUCAUUGAACGCCUUGAACGAUUCUGAAGUCGCCCUUGAAUUCAAUGUUGGCAGUUUGUCCAUUGAAUACCUUGAACGAUUUCCAGCUGAAGAUAUUCUGAUUAGAGAUGGUAUUUCUUCCAAAGACUUUGUAAUUGAUCUAUUUUCGCUCACAUUUGUUCGAUUUAACAGUAGUGAAGUAUGUCGAUCUCAAUGUUGGCAGCAUCCUAAUGUUAUUCUGAUGUGAAGAAGAAAGUGAAUGAUGCAGAUAGAAGUUAAAGCACCUUGAAGAAAUGACUCCUCUAGCAUACUACAACGUGGAAGACAAAGACAUAUAUCAAUUAUUACAAAUAUCAAACUUAAGUUAUAAAAGAUAUGGGAACGGAACUGUGGUGGUGAACAUGGAAAGGGGCUGGUGGGAUCUUAUAUUCCACAAGAUUAGAGUAGUUUUUGGCUUUGGAAUAUGAUUAGGAAAUAUAGACCACUCACUUCAAAGUUUAAAGAACCCAUUUGAAAUCAAGCUCCAAAUUUCGUACAAGUGAUAGUACCUGAGAUCUCAACAAGAGGAAAGGGGAAGGCCUUUAAUAACACUACAAUGAAGCAUAGAGUGAAGCGGUCGAUUAAGGUGCCCACGAUUAGUAACAAGCUAGAAGAUAUGAUGAUUAUUUAUGGAGGAAAAAUAGCCAAAAGCCAAUCAAGGGUUCUCCACA